rnacentral:rRNA from 1 species
CCUACGGGAGGCUGCAGUGGGGAAUAUUGGACAAUGGGCGAAAGCCUGAUCCAGCCAUGCCGCGUGUGUGAAGAAGGCCUUCGGGUUGUAAAGCACUUUCAGUGGGGAAGAAAGCCUUGGGGCUAAUAUCCUCGAGGAAGGACAUCACCCACAGAAGAAGCACCGGCUAACUCCGUGCCAGCAGCCGCGGUAAUACGGAGGGUGCGAGCGUUAAUCGGAAUUACUGGGCGUAAAGCGCGCGUAGGCGGUCUGAUAAGCCGGUUGUGAAAGCCCCGGGCUCAACCUGGGAACGGCAUCCGGAACUGUCAGGCUAGAGUGCAGGAGAGGAAGGUAGAAUUCCCGGUGUAGCGGUGAAAUGCGUAGAGAUCGGGAGGAAUACCAGUGGCGAAGGCGGCCUUCUGGACUGACACUGACGCUGAGGUGCGAAAGCGUGGGUAGCAAACAGGAUUAGAUACCCUUGUAGUC